rnacentral:tRNA from 2 species
GCCCCUGUAGCUCAGUGGAUAGAGCACCGGUUUCCUAAACCGGGUGCCGCAAGUUCAAUUCUUGCCAGGGGCA